AACGCAGCGAAAUGCGAUAAGUAAUGUGAAUUGCAGAAUUCAGUGAAUCAUCGAAUCUUUGAACGCACAUUGCGCCCGGCAGCAAUCUGCCGGGCAUGCCUGUCCGAGCGUCAUUUCUUCCCUCGAGCGCGGCUAGCCCUACGGGGCCUGCCGUCGCCCGGUGUUGGGGCUCUACGGGUGGGGCUCGUCCCCCCCGCAGUCCCCGAAAUGUAGUGGCGGUCCAGCCGCGGCGCCCCCUGCGUAGUAGAUCCUACAUCUCGCAUCGGGUCCCGGCGAAGGCCAGCCGUCGAACCUUUUAUUUCAUGGUUUGACCUCGGAUCAGGUAGGGUUACCCGCUGAACUUAAGCAUAUCAAAA
rnacentral:sRNA from 1 species